rnacentral:rRNA from 1 species
AGUUUGAUUCUGGCUCAGGAUGAACGCUAGCUACAGGCUUAACACAUGCAAGUCGAGGGGCAGCAUUAUCGAAGCUUGCUUUGAUAGAUGGCGACCGGCGCACGGGUGAGUAACGCGUAUCCAACCUUCCCAUCACUCAGGGAUAGCCCGCCGAAAGGCGAAUUAAUACCUGAUGGUCUCCUUUGCGGACAUCUAACGAGGAGUAAAGAUUUAUUGGUGAUGGAUGGGGAUGCGUCUGAUUAGGUAGUAGGCGGGGUAACGGCCCACCUAGCCGACGAUCAGUAGGGGUUCUGAGAGGAAGGUCCCCCACAUUGGAACUGAGACACGGUCCAAACUCCUACGGGAGGCAGCAGUGAGGAAUAUUGGUCAAUGGACGGAAGUCUGAACCAGCCAAGUAGCGUGCCAGGAUGACGGCCCUAUGGGUUGUAAACUGCUUUUGUGCGGGAAUAAAGUAUGGGACGUGUCCCGUUUUGCAUGUACCGCACGAAUAAGGACCGGCUAAUUCCGUGCCAGCAGCCGC